CCUACGGGAGGCAGCAGUGGGGAAUUUUCCGCAAUGGGCGAAAGCCUGACGGAGCAAUGCCGCGUGGAGGUGGAAGGCCUACGGGUCGUCAACUUCUUUUCUCGGAGAAGAAACAAUGACGGUAUCUGAGGAAUAAGCAUCGGCUAACUCUGUGCCAGCAGCCGCGGUAAU
rnacentral:rRNA from 2 species